GCGCAAAUUACCCACUCCCGGCACGGGGAGGUAGUGACGAAAAAUAACGAUACGGGACUCAUCCGAGGCCCCGUAAUCGGAAUGAGUACACUUUAAAUCCUUUAACGAGUAUCUAUUGGAGGGCAAGUCUGGUGCCAGCAGCCGCGGUAAUUCCAGCUCCAAUAGCGUAUAUUAAAGUUGUUGCGGUUAAAAAGCUCGUAGUUGGAUUUGUGUCCCACGCUGUUGGUUCACCGCCCGUCGGUGUUUAACUGGCAUGUAUCGUGGGACGUCCUGCCGGUGGGGG
rnacentral:rRNA from 1 species